AUGAACGCUGGCGGCGUGCCUUAGGCAUGCAAGUCAAGGGGGGCUCGCAAGAGUCAACCGGCGGACGGGUUGAGUAACGCGUGAGGAUCUACCUUAAAGUAGGGCAUAGCUAGCCGAAAGGUUGGGUAAUUUCCUAUGUGAUCGUAAGAUUAAAGCCGCAAGGCGCUUUAAGAUGAACUUGCGUCCUAUCAGCUUGUUGGUGGGGUAAAGGCCUACCAAGGCAACGACGGGUAGCUGGUCUGAGAGGAUGGUCAGCCACAAUGGAACUGCGAUACGGUCCAUACACCUACGGGUGGCAGCAACCGGGAAUAUUGCGCAAUGGGGGAAACCCUAACGCAGCGACGCCGCGUGGAGGAUUGAAAGCCUUAGGGUUGUAAACUCCUUUUAUGUGGGAAGAUUAUGACGGUACCACAAGAAUAAGCACCUGCUAACUACGUGCCAGAAGCCUCGGUAAUGCGUAGGGUGCAAGCGUUAUCCGGAUUUACUGGGCGUAAAGAGUUGCGUAGGCGGUUUUGACGCAUUUUGCUUUAAAGACUCCGACUCAAUCGGAGAUUUUGGUAAAACAUGGUCAGACUAGAAGGUUCGAGAGGGUGCUGGAACUUGCAGUGUAGCAGUGAAAUGCGUUGAUGUUGCAGGGGAACACCAAAGGCGUAGGCAGGCACCUAGAGAACCCUUGACGCUGAGGCACGAAAGCUAGGGGAGCGAAGCAGAUUAGAGACCUGCGUAGUCCUAGCCGUAACGAUGGAUGCUAGAUACCCGGUUUACCGGGCGUCGAAGUUAACACAUUAAGCAUCCCGCCUGGGGAGUACGAGCGCAAGCUUAAAACUCAAAGGAAUUGACGGGGACCCGCACAAGCAGUGGAGCGUGUGGUUUCAAUUCGAUUACAAAACGAAAAACCUCACCAGGGUUUGACAUGUAGCUGCAAAUCUUAGGAAACUAGGACUCUUUCGAAGGUGCUACACAGAUGGUGCAUGGCUGUCAUCAGUUCGUGGCGUGAGCUGUUCCAUUUAGUUGGGAAACGAACGCAACCCCUCGCCGUAUGUUAAAUAAUCCAUACGGAACUGCCCGGCUUUGCCGGAGGAAGGAGAGGAUUAUGUCAAGUCCGCCCGCCUCUUACACCCUGGGCUACACACACACUACAAUGGCGAAAAACAACGAGUUGCAAGCUAGUAAUAGCAAGCUAAUCUCUGAAAUUUCGCCCCAGUUCAGAUUGAGGGCUGCAAUUCGCCCUCAUGAAGUCGGAAUUGCUAGUAAUCGCGGAUCAGCAUGCCGCGGUGAAUACGUUCUCGGGUCUUGUACACACCGCCCGUCAAGCGAGCAAAGUUGGGUGCACCCGAAUCCGGCUACCGCCGGAGAAGGUGAAACCAGCGAUGAGCGCU
rnacentral:rRNA from 1 species